rnacentral:rRNA from 1 species
CAGGCCUAACACAUGCAAGUCGAACGGUGGCAGCAAUGCCAUAGUGGCGCACGGGUGCGUAACACGUAAGUAACCUACCCAUCAUUGGGGGAUAGCCCGCCGAAAGGCGGAUUAAUACCGCAUAAGACAAUAGAAGGGCAUCCUUUAGUUGUUAAAGAUUUAUUGAUGAUGGAUGGGGUUGCGGGUCAUUAGCUAGUUGGUUGGGUAACGGCUGACCAAGGCGACGAUGACUAGGGGAGCUGAGAGGCUGGUCCCCCACACGGGCACUGAGAUACGGGCCCGACUCCUACGGGAGGCAGCAGUAGGGAAUAUUGGGCAAUGGGCGAGAGCCUGACCCAGCCAUGCCGCGUGCAGGAAGAAGGCUUUCUGAGUCGUAAACUGCUUUUGACAGGGAAGAAUAAGCUUGACGUGUCAAGUGAUGACGGUACCUGCAGAAUAAGCACCGGCUAACUCCGUGCCAGCAGCCGCGGUAAU